UAUUUGUAUGGAUCUAUUAUUUGUUCAUUUGUUCAAAAAGAAAUCAAUGAUGCCUAAAAGUAAAAUAUAAUUUCAAAACAAUAAUUUUUCAAUGAUAUGGAUUUGGAAUUCAAUAAUAAUUUAAGUUAUAGACCUACCAAUCUGCUUGAUAAAGUUAAAAGAUCUCUAAUUAACUAAACAUAAUUUCAAAGGAUUGAAAAAUCAACCAAGUUGAGGGCCAAAAUAAACAAAAGAAAGUAAACUAACAAAAACUAGAAACUCAGUUAUAGAACACCAAAACUUUGCCAUAAAAACACUAACAACAACAAAUGGGUGCAGGUAAGGCGCCCAUUUCCAAUCUACUCCUCCCUUCACAACCACCACCACCAACUCCAAACCCAAGAGCAACCAGUAGGCGCCUUCUCCUAUUCUCCCUUCCUUUAUUUACCACAGCAACUACUGCUAAUCUUCUUCCUUUCAGUACUACAGGUGCUAAAUUUGCAAGUGCUUCAACUAAACAACUGAACUUAAACUCUUGUUGGGCACUAGCAGAAAGCUUUAAGCCAAGCUCAGAAAGAAGCCAGUGCUGCCAUAACUAGGAGAGUAACAGAAGCUGUAGAGUUGUUGGAGAAAGGGAGGGAAUUGUAGGCUCAAGGGGACUUCAAUGAAGCACUGCUCUACUUCACUAAGAUGGUUGAAAAUUACAAAGAUUUUGCAUUCUCAGAAUAUAGAAGGUUUGGGAGAGCAUUGUCUCUUUACGAGGUUGGGGACAGAGAAGAAGCAAUUGCAGAAAUGGAAGAUAUCUCAAUAUCUUUGAAGGAUAUCCAGAAAUACAUGCAGCUCUUGCAGCAGCCUCAUAUGCGGACAAGCAUGCCACUUUACUAGCAGAAAAUCAAUUCACAAUUGCAACCACGCUUGAUCCUCACCAUACGGAUCUGUCAUAUGUCAAAGAAACUAAGCAUUGGCCUCCAAGUUUGGUCAGUUCGUUGCAGCAGUUCAUCACAUUUUCAUAAAUAUCCAAGUUAUAUACAAAUAUGAUAUCAUCGCAUCACUCUUCGCUCCUGUUUGGUAUUGCAUUGCAAACAGGGGUCGGAUAAAAUUUGAUUUUUUUUU